rnacentral:rRNA from 1 species
AACGAACGCUGGCGGCAGGCUUAACACAUGCAAGUCGAGCGAGGUUUUCGGACCUAGCGGCGGACGGGUGAGUAACGCGUGGGAACGUGCCCUUUGCUACGGAAUAGCCUCUGGAAACGGAGAGUAAUACCGUAUGUGCCCGGUAACGGGGAAAGAUUUAUCGGCAAAGGAUCGGCCCGCGUUGGAUUAGGUAGUUGGUGGAGUAAUGGCCUACCAAGCCGACGAUCCAUAUCUGGCUUGAGAGGAUGAUCAGCCACACUGGGACUGAGACACGGCCCAGACUCCUACGGGAGGCAGCAGUGGGGAAUCUUAGACAAUGGGGGCAACCCUGAUCUAGCCAUGCCGCGUGAGUGAUGAAGGCCUUAGGGUUGUAAAGCUCUUUCAGCUGGGAAGAUAAUGACGGUACCAGCAGAAGAAGCCCCGGCUAACUCCGUGCCAGCCGCCGCCGUAA